rnacentral:rRNA from 1 species
GGCCUCCUUGAAAUCACAAACGACUCUCGGCAACGGAUAUCUCGGCUCACGCAUCGAUGAAGAACGUAGCAAAAUGCGAUACUUGGUGUGAAUUGCAGAAUCCCGUGAACCAUCGAGUUUUUGAACGCAAGUUGCGCCCGAAGCCAUCCGGCUGAGGGCACG